AUUGAACGCUGGCGGCAGGCCUAACACAUGCAAGUCGAACGAGUGGCGGACGGGUGAGUAAUGUCUGGGAAACUGCCUGAUGGAGGGGGAUAACUACUGGAAACGGUAGCUAAUACCGCAUACCAUCAGAUGUGCCCAGAUGGGAUUAGCUAGUAGGUGGGGUAACGGCUCACCUAGGCGACGAUCCCUAGCUGGUCUGAGAGGAUGACCAGCCACACUGGAACUGAGACACGGGCAAGACUCCUGCGGGAUGCAGAAGUGGGGAAUAUUGCGCAAUGGGCGCAAGCCUGAUGCAGCCAUGACCCGUGUAGGAAGAGGGCCGUCGGGUUGUAAAGUACUUUCAGCGGGGAGGCGUUACCCGCAGAAGAAGCACCGGCUAACUCCGUGCCAGCAGCCGCGGUAAUUC
rnacentral:rRNA from 1 species